rnacentral:lncRNA from 1 species
GAAAGCCAAUUGAAAGUGAACGCUCCAAUGUACAGAACAUCAGUAAAAACAAGAUGUUCGUUCAAGGUGAUAGUGCCAACAUGAGUGAUAGACACGAACAUCCCAUUUGGGAGACAAACAGUACGAUUAUCAACCGCAGCAAGUCGGCAUAUAGAACGGAAGUGGUGCGAGCUGAGAAAGGAAAGCGGGCAACCUCGUCGAAGCUUCGUCCGGCGUUGCCUUCAAGCUAAAGGGUGUCUUGCAACAACUAUAAAGCCAUCCUCAACUCACCUUUCAAGCUGCGCUUUUCACCGGGUGUAACACGGAGUAGGAAGAUUGGAGGGUUUAUGUACGACUGGAGCUGGAGAUUCAACAGUCGAGGUUUCGAUCAGGGUUCGCUGGUGCUGUGGUGAUCAGCUGGAGUUGAACGAGGAUCGGAAGUAUUGAUGGGGAGUUGAAGUCUCGGUGUGUUAGGUGGUAAAGUUGCCGGUUUGAUUAUUUGUUUUGUUCUAAUACUGCUACUUAUUGUUGUGGAACUUGUUGCAUAGAAUUGCAUGUUCAUUCUGUAUUUGGAAGCAGUAGCAGCUGGGUCUUAGUUGCUGUCUAUAUUCUAUCGAACAUAAAGUGCAAGAUCUGAUUCUGUCAAUUGAAACGUUCAGUUAGCUAAUUGAUCAGGUAGUUCAAGUAAUUGGUUUCUUGGUAUUGCUUAUUCAUACUACUGCACACGCCUUGAAUAAAGCUUUGAUCAGUCGUGCAGUAGUGGAAUUUUAAUUACUAGUUAUUAUUCAAUAGCUUGUUGCUUACAGACGUCUAGACUUAGUUUGGUGGAUACUUUGUUCAUCUGUACAAACUCAGUCUUUGAUUUGAAUUCUUGGUUACUUGGUUUACAGCUUGUUCGAAAUUGUCGCUGAAAACAAAACCUUGUAAGAAACUUGAAGAUGAAUUCAACUCGUAAUAAUAUUAUUAUCUCAAUGAAAAAAAUUGUCUAGCUGGGAAAGUCACGAAUCCAUAAACUGAAAAAAUGUUCCAGAAUUAACAGAUUAAGAAGGUCCAAUAAUGAAUCCAAGAAGAGAAAUUGGUAAAACACAGAUGAUCAUUGUUUAUUGGUAGCCAUCUCAUUCUGAGCACUAGGCUAGCUGUUCAUUAUUUUCUCUUCAGGAUAUGCGUCAAAUGGACAUGCUGAAUAAGCUGAUGAAAUAAAGUUGAUAUCAGUACUUACACCACUGCAUAUUUGUUUGAAUCAAAUCAAUAUCAUGAGAAUAUAUAUACCUGAAGUGAAGCUACUGCUUAACCCGUUGAAGCCUUUUCGUUCUUCAUGAUCAUAUGAAACGAUUUGACCCGAUCCUCCUCCACCAUUUUCCUCAGAACAUCAUCUUCGAUCUUCUCCGCUUGCCACUGCAAAGGGUCCUCAACGAAAGCCUCGCUGAAUAUCAUACAGGAAACCCACUCUUUCCAUGUUGUUCUCCUGUACUUAUCUUCCUCA